rnacentral:lncRNA from 1 species
AUGCAGAGGGAAGCCCCCCCCCCCUCCCCAUUUUGCUCGGUCCCCACGGAGCAUCCCGCUACGGACAGCAGCCCCCUCGGCCCCCCGGGAGGAGGGGGGGGGCUUGGUGACAGCCGGACAGAUGGACAGCAGGACAGCCGGACACACGGCCAGCAGGACGCACGGCCAGCAGCCCGAGCUCUCCAUCAGCCCCAGCGCCCCGCCGUGCAUGUGGCCGGGGCUUGGGAGGAGGAGGAGGAGGAGGAGGAGGAGGAGGAGGAAGAGGAGGAGGAGAAGGGAGGAUGCACGUUAAGGGGGGAGCGCGCACGGAGGGGUGGAGGGCAGGAAAAGCGGAGGGGAGGGGGGGGGGUCACCGAUUUUUGGCACGCACCGCGCCAAUACACGAGGGAGGGGAGCGCGGCGGGGCCCGUGCGCGCGUAUCCGUGCCCCCCCCCCCUCUUUAUUUUUUUUUUUUCCACCCCCCCCUCCAAAAAAAAAACAACAAAUACACCCCAAACCCAACCCGGGGUGGGGGUGGGGGUACUCACGGGCCGGGCAUCCGCGCUGCCACCGCCCAGCAGCGCCGUUCGCUGCCGCCGCUGCCCCGCUGCCCCCGGCCCCCGCCGCCGCUGCGCUGCCGCCGCCGCCGGGCUCGGCACCGGGGGGAGAGGGAGAGGCAGCGGGAGCGGAGCGGAGCCGAGCCGAGCCGAGGCACUGCGCACGCGUUUCCCGGCCCCUGCGAUUGACUUCCUAAAGCAAUUGCAGCUCCGGCACUUCCUCGCGUCAAAACACAGCCGCGCGGACACGCCGGGAUGGAGAGGGCAGCGGGCAGAGGCACACCAGGGGUUGGGUUUUGCUCCUGAAAGGUGCUGGGGGGUGCGCAGCUGGUACAGGCAGCUUGUAUCCAGCUCCCAGCACCCAGCAGCCAGCUCCCAGUACGCACCAGUGCCGUGCAGCCGGACUGGUGUGCUGCACGAGAAGCCGGACUGGGAUCCUGCAGCAGCACCGUGCACCCAGUACCCGCAGCCAGCACCCAGCAGCGCACACCCGGUGCUGGGGUCCUGUGCCAGGACAUGGUGCUGGGACCCCUCACCAGCACACUUGCACCGGCACCCAGCACCGUGA